rnacentral:rRNA from 1 species
GUGGGGAAUUUUGGACAAUGGGCGCAAGCCUGAUCCAGCCAUGCCGCGUGAGUGAAGAAGGCCUUCGGGUUGUAAAGCUCUUUCGGCCGGGAAGAAAUCGGCGACUCUAACAUAGUCGCUGGAUGACGGUACCGGACUAAGAAGCACCGGCUAACUACGUGCCAGCAGCCGCGGUAAUACGUAGGGUGCGAGCGUUAAUCGGAAUUACUGGGCGUGAAGCGUGCGCAGGCGGUUUUGUAAGACAGAUGUGAAAUCCCCGGGCUCAACCUGGGAAUUGCGCUUGGGACUGCAAGGCUGGAGUGCGGCAGAGGGGGAUGGAAUUCCGCGUGUAGCAGUGAAAUGCGUAGAUAUGCGGAGGAACACCGAUGGCGAAGGCAAUCCCCUGGGCCUGCACUGACGCUCAUGCACGAAAGCGUGGGGAGCAAACAGGAUUAGAAACCCCUGUAGUCC